rnacentral:rRNA from 1 species
AACGAACGCUGGCGGCGUGCCUAACACAUGCAAGUCGAACGAGGUCCAUGAGAGCUUGCUCUCGGACGACCUAGUGGCGAACGGGUGAGUAACACGUGAGAAACCUGCCUCGGAGUGGGGAAUAACUCGGGGAAACUCGAGCUAAUACCGCAUACCUUCAGAUGAUCGCAUGGUCGACUGAAGAAAGAAUUUCGCUCUGAGAGGGUCUCGCGGCCUAUCAGCUAGUUUGUGGGGUAACGGCCUACCAAGGCAACGACGGGUAGCUGGAUUGAGAAAUCGAUCAGCCACACUGGGACUGAGCCACGGCCCAGACUCCUACGGGAGGCAGCAGUGGGGAAUCUUGCGCAAUGGGCGAAAGCCUGACGCAGCAACGCCGCGUGCGGGAUGACGGCCUUCGUGGUUGUAAACCGCUUUCAGCAGGGACGAAAUUGACGGUACCUGCAGAAGAAGCCCCGGCUAACUACGUGCCAGCCGCCGCAGUAAGA